GAGGGUAUAGGUCAGUGGUAGAGAACGUGCUUAGCAUGCACAAGGUCCUGGGUUCAAUCCUCAGUACCUCUA
rnacentral:tRNA from 1 species